AGUGCCAUUUUUGAAGAAUGGGGGAGAGCUCACUCGGGGUGAGAUUUGUUUGAGUGUGUUCGUUGGGCAAUCGAACGAUUCAACUGUUGCACAGAUCUUAUGUUUCUCCAUGUGCAAGAGAUCUCCACGGGGCGAGAUUGAAGAAGCCGCCGUGACAGAGAUUGAGCAUGAGUGUUCAUUUAAUGUGUUUGUUAAGAGAUAUUUGUGCUAUCUGUUAUAUUUAAUGUUGUGAUUUCUGAGGGGGAAGUAAGCGAUUCUUCUUUUUCCUUUGAUAAAUGAUAUUAGAGGGGAGAAGCGAGACACGCGAGUGUGCACGUGAGUUAUUAGUCACGUGAGUGUUCCAGUGCGGUGCAGCGCUUCACAGACUGGGUGGUCACAGUCAAGUAAAACCCACACGGAUGCUAUAGAGAUGCAACCAAUAAAAGUGACUAUUACAAACAGUGGAGCUGAUAAAAGCUGCUUCACAGAAGAGACAGCCAACAGACAUACAUGAGAAAACAUAACAGAGGAAAACAACAGCAAAAUCUAAGUGACGCUCACAGUGUAUUUAUAAUAAUAAUAAUAAUAAUAAUAACAACAAUCUUGAAUCAAGAUGUGGGACAAUACCUCAACAUAAAAACAGUCCUGUGUUGUCUGUAUUAACGUGCAAAAGCUUGCAAAAAAUAAAUGUAAAAAAAAAAAAAAACAAUUCUAUUCCAAGCACAUAACUGUCAGAAUUAUGUGCUUGCCAUCUGUUGACCAUGUCAGUCUCACAUAGAGACUAAAACACUUUUGUAAGUCAUUCUGAAUAAGAUAAUCUUACCAAAUGCCUUAAAUGUUAAAGUCAGACAACAGUCAGCAAUUUGGUCUGUAUACUUUUCAUUUUGGUUUUCAGUCUUUUAAACUGUGUUGUACUGCGAAAUAUUAUUUUUGCUAAUACAGUUCACUUAUCUGAGUUAUGUAGGUUAUGUGAUAAGUAUUGUGAGGUUGUGCAGUGAUUUGCUUGUCUAAACACAGAAAUAUGUAAAAACUGUAAAUGAUCAUUAUUUUAAUUAUUUUAGUAAUAGGUGUGUGUUAUGCAAUGGCGUAUCGAAAGGGGUUCAGUUGCCCACCCUAAAAAGAACUCUGGCAAACCCCCUUCACCAUGAUCAUAAUAAUACUUUAUAUUUCACAUAAGGUAAUUUUUUAUCAGACAUUAAAUAUUUAACCAAAAUAGAACAACAGCAACCAGUAUUUGUUUAUUUAGAACUUCUCUUUGAAACUCCACCGCUUUUCUCGCGGAUGCGUGUUGUAGCAUGCCAACUGAAUCAUCCAUCAGCAGUACAGGUAGGCUACUUCACUUCAAAACCAGCACCUUAGACAAAACAAUUAAGUAAGCAUUUUUAAAACACAUUUCGCCAAAUGUUUUAUUUCCACAUUAAAUCUUCAUUUAUGUAACUUUUUAAAAAAUAACAAUGUUAUUAAUGAGAGUGUGCAAC